rnacentral:tRNA from 1 species
GCCCCUGUAGCUCAGGUGGAUAGAGCACCAGCCCCCGGAGCUGGGCGCGAGCGUUCAAGUCGCUCCAGGGGCG